rnacentral:lncRNA from 1 species
UGGAGGGGAAGGGUGAGAGGGUGGGGGCGGCGACCAUGGGGAAUCUGCCCGGCGGCGAGGUGUGACUGUGAGGUGGGCGGUGAGGAAUCUACCUGGCUGUGAGUUGUCUUCCUCUCCCUCCCGAAUUUGUGCUCAUUAGUGUAUCAAUCUAUCUUUCGUCAGGAGGAUCAUAGGACCAUGCUCAAAAACUGCUAGUGAAUUAAUUAAUUUGCCUACUACUACUAUACUAGGAGAUGACGGGCUGAACGUCUGAAACCUUUGUUGAUAAUUAGUUCUCGAAGCAGAUAGGCGCCUCGUGUUCCCCUGAUGACCAGUGCUUCUAGUUGGUAUGUAGUACAUCCCAUUACUAGUUUGUACUCGUCGGAAGGAAACUGAGAUACUGAGAAACCCAGCUCACGAUGUGUGUAGUACUUAUUACUCACGAUGUACAGGCUCGUGAGAUACCAGCUUCAUCCAUCAGAAGAGAGGCACACUACUGCUCCAUUUAAACAGUAAAAAUAGUUAUAUCUUAGGAGUUGGAAGGCAAAGUUUGUGGAAUUAGUUGCUGCACAACAAUAGUGCUGCACUAGUGCAGAACCGGGCAAUAUCACCGGUUCGUAAGGCCCUUUAGUGUCGGUUCCGUAACUGGCACUAAAGUGUGGGCACUAAAGCCCCCCCCCUUUAGUACCGGUUCAGCACGAACCGGUGCUAAAGGGCAACCACGUGGCACGAGCCAGCUCCGGGGGGCGGGAGCCCUUUAGUAUCGGUUGGUAACACCAACCGGUACUACAAGGUUUGGGGCGGGUUUGGUUUUAUGAUUUCUUUUUCAUUUAAUUUUGUGUUUUCCAUUUAAUUCUUUUUCGUUUGCUGGUAUUUUACGAUACUACACAUUGUACACGUUAUGCACAUAUAUAUAUAAAUAGAAUUUCUAGUAGAACCGAUCAUAUAUAUAUCAUCAAAUGUCUCACAAACCACCAUACUAAUUCACACAUACACAAAUUGUGAAUAGUGUUCUGACAAACGUACCCAUUCCUGUUUUUGAGAUCUGCUCCUUUCGGACGCCAUCAUGCGAAUGUUCUCGCAAACGCAGUAUGCACACAGAUCAGCCCCCUGCGCCUGCUUCAGGGCCUUUACGAGAAUGGAAUUUGAUCAGAUAUUAAUUAAUCAAGCAUGAUAAUUAAAGAGAUGGCAGCUAGCUAGCUAGCUAGUACUACUUAAUUACUUACCUUGGGUCAAAACCAUUUCAGCUUUUGUUUCCAUUCGCCUUUAGUGACGCUGAUAAACCUUGCCCAAGCCCUGCCCGCCGACAAAGAAAAUGAAUAAAGGGGUUAUUAAAUAGUUCAUAUCAUGAAAUGACGAACUAAAUAGGCCGAAAUAUAUAGUUGAUAAUGAUUGAAAUUACCUGUUGACUAUCCCAAACAAGAUGUUAUAGUCAGUAUUUACUUUGAGUAGUGAGUCCAGUAUUUCAACUGUUCCGGCGUCAACUUUAAUGAUACACAAGAUCCAGUGAAAUCUGCAUGCACACACGUUUGCAUGUCUUAAUUAAGCGGGCAUAUGUAAGAAAAAACAUGUAGCUAGCUAGUAGGCAAAAACAGAGAAUUUGUAGUACAAGACAAUGUGACUCACUGGAAGUUGUAAGGAAGUAGUAUAUCUUCAUUGUAUUUGAGGCGCUUCAAGAACUCUAGCAUGCUGUCCUCUACAUGCUUUUCAUGAUGUGGAUCUAUUUUCCAUGUGUAUUCAUUAACGGUGUUUGGGUCAAUGAACCCAAUGCCAUAGCGUCCACCUUUUUUCAUUCCAUACAUCUUCAUCCUGCAUAAUACCACAGAAAAGAAUAUAGUGAGGAUAAUUACAGGUAAUGAUUGAUCAAAAGGAUCACUACAGCUAGUUUCAGACUUAAAUUAGAGAAAGAAAUCACUUACAGACAAUAGCAAUUGACGAUAGAAUUGUCGAGUGCGUCUUGAUUGUAUAGCUGAAACAGUUCAUUAUACUCAACGGCCACAGCUUUCUGAUGGUAGUAAUAAUCCUUCUUGACUUCCACCAUGAGGGACUCUCGAUUGGAACUCUUAGUAAUGUCCAUGUACCAUUGAUGCAAUUCAUACAUUCUCGUUGGGAGCCUCUUGACCUCGUCUGGCUUGACCAAAGGUUCGCCCUGGACAUAUUUCUGUUUUAUUUCCUCCUCUGUAAGCACAGGCAUGGGCUCGAUCUUGAGGAGUUGUCCAACAGUGAUGUUGAGAAUUUUAGCCUGCGUUAUAUGCUUCUCGGUUAUUACCACAUUGUCCACCUCGGAAACGUAAACUGUUUGCCCACAAUAAUAUUGGGUGCGCGUACUGUCACGUGUUGUUGGCACAACAAGCGAGGGGAUCGAUUGCGCCGCCUGUUCUCCCAGCUGAGGAACAGUUUUCCCGCAUUUUUUGACAGUUGCUUGUUGUUUGCUAGAGCUCGAGCUCGCCUCCUUCAUAGACGUGAUCGAUUUAACUUCCUAAUGUGGUGCUCAUAGUCUGUGUCAACAGGCUUGGGAGCUGGUGAUUGAGCCAUACGAAUGAAGUGGUCAAUCUUUUCCUCAGGCACUUUCUCCCUUGGCGGCGGUGGCGGUUUCGGUCCAAAAUGUGCGUCCACUUCUGCCCACACUAUGGCAUUCGUUUGCUCCUCGGUCCUGUCGUAAGCCCUCUGAGGAAGAGGAGUAGUGAGGCUUGGACCAUAUUUAUAUCGCUUGCCUCCGCCUGUACUUCCUGUAGUACCUUGACUCGUACCGCUACGCACCAUAGCUGUGGGGUGUCUCUUCUGCGAUUGCUGAGGCGGCGGAGACGGCUAACGGGGCUGAGUUGGACGAGGAGGAGUGGCCUGAAGCUGUGCCGGACUUGGAGGAGGAGUGGCCUGAAGUUGUGCCGGACUUGGAGGAGGAGUGGACGUCUGACGCUGUGUCAGACUUGGAGGAGGAGUGGCCUGACGCUUUGCCGGACUUGGAGGAGGAGGAGUGGCCUGACGCGUUCGUGGACUUGCAGGAGUGGGAGUCUGCUGACUCGGUGGCGGACUUCGACGAGGAGUCGGCUGACGCGGUGUCGGUGGCCUUCGAAAGAUGAUGCAAUCCUUUCUCCAUAGGAUGAUACGAUGUUUGGCCUCUCCGAGUGUGUGCUCGUCGUCACCUCCAGGAAUGUCAAGCUCUAGCCCUGAAUAUUGGUCCACCACCUCAUCAACCAAGACACGAGCAUAGCCUGCUGGAAUCGGGUUGCAAUGGAAGGUUGCCUCGGGGGGAUUUGUAAAAGCAACGACGUCCUCCACCUUCAUGGAUAUGUUCUUCAUUUUGAAGUGUAGCUCGCAGUUAGUGUUCUCCAUGAUGUCAUACACGGGUUAUCUAUCCAGCAUUGCGUCGCCCGGGGUGGAACCCACGCUGCUUCUCGGCAUGGAUGGGGCGGUGCUAUCCAAUGAUGGAUCAUCCGGUAUCUGCUGCAGCUGCUGAGACCCCCUUUGCUGGCUAAGUGAGUCGAUCUGCUCCUGCUGCCGUUGGAAUUUGACUGCCAAGUCCGCGUGCUUUGAUUCUAGGCCUUGAAGGCGUUCAUAGUCCAUCUUCCUCUGCUCCUUCUCCAUCUUCCUCUUCUUCUCCUCCGCAAUCUUCCUUCUCGCACGGGUUCUGUAGUCGGCAUUCCAGUCUGAAAACUCCUCAUACCACGGAAUAGCGCCCUUGCCUCGUGUUCUUCCCGGGUGUUCAGGAUUUCCCAGGGCACGCGUAAGCUCGUCGUUCUCUCUGUUGGGCUGGAACACCCCCGAUCGAGCCUCUUUAGUACUAGCUAUAUGCCCGCAAAAAGUAACAUUUUUUUCAUGAUUGGAUUUUGAUAACUAAAAUUUCUAAAAUUUCUAUAUAACUAACAUUUCUAUAACAUUUCUAACAAUGCUAUAUAACUAACAUUUCUAUAACAUUUCUAAUAUUUCUAUAACUAAAAAACAGAAGAAAAAAAAUAUAACAUUUCUAUAUAUAUAACUAACAUUUGUAUAACAUUUCUAAUAUNNNNNNNNNNNNNNNNNNNNNNNNNNNNNNNNNNNNNNNNNNNNNNNNNNNNNNNNNNNNNNNNNNNNNNNNNNNNNNNNNNNNNNNNNNNNNNNNNNNNNNNNNNNNNNNNNNNNNNNNNNNNNNNNNNNNNNNNNNNNNNNNNNNNNNNNNNNNNNNNNNNNNNNNNNNNNNNNNNNNNNNNNNNNNNNNNNNNNNNNNNNNNNNNNNNNNNNNNNNNNNNNNNNNNNNNNNNNNNNNNNNNNNNNNNNNNNNNNNNNNNNNNNNNNNNNNNNNNNNNNNNNNNNNNNNNNNNNNNNNNNNNNNNNNNNNNNNNNNNNNNNNNNNNNNNNNNNNNNNNNNNNNNNNNNNNNNNNNNNNNNNNNNNNNNNNNNNNNNNNNNNNNNNNNNNNNNNNNNNNNNNNNNNNNNNNNNNNNNNNNNNNNNNNNNNNNNNNNNNNNNNNNNNNNNNNNNNNNNNNNNNNNNNNNNNNNNNNNNNNNNNNNNNNNACGACGGGGACGAGGGGGACAGGGACGAUGGGGCGGCGACGACGGGGACGGGGCGGCGACGAGGGAUAUGGAGACGGGGGCGGCGGGCGACGGGGCAGAGGAGAAGAAGCAGAUGAGAAACUGAAAUUUUUGAAGUGUAUUCUUAUAUAGGAUGGACCUUUAGUACCGGUUGGAGCCACCAACCGGUACUAAAGGCCUGUUUUGGCUAGGCCAAGCGGCGGGAAGCGCACCCCCUUCAGUACCAGUUGGUGGCUCCAACCGGUACUAAAGGCCCCCCCUUUAGUACCGGUUGGUGGCUCCAACCGAUACUAAAGGGGGUGCGCUGGCGCAGGUGCGGUGCGGCAAGUUUAGUCCACCUCGCUAGCCGAGGGGCGUCCGCACUAGUUUAUAACCCCCCGCGCGGUAGCUCUCUCGAACUCCUCUCUAAAGCAGGCCUACUGGGCCUACAUGUUCUGCCCUGCCCUGUUGGCCUACUGGGCCUUUGCGGGGCUGCAUCCUGGCCCAACAGCAGUCUGGGUUUCUAGUCGUAUGCAGGCCGCUCUGGCCCAGUAGGCGGGCUUUUUUUUUGCUUUAUUUAUUUUUGAGUUGUUUUUUGUGUAUUUAGAGUUUCUUUGUGAAUAUUUUUGCUUUAGGUACAAAAAAUUACAAACUUUCUGUUAGUGCCCGUAGUUUUCAAAUUUGAAUAGUUUAAAUUUUGAAUUAUUUGAAAUUAGUGUGAAUCACUAGUUUGGGAAUAACUUAACUUUAAAAAUCAGUAAAGGCAUGAAAGAAUUUGUUUGCACAUAAAAUUUCUUCGCGUUUCAAAUGCCAAAACACAUAACUACCCUAACUAUUACAGAGAUUCCCUCCUGGGUGUGAAACACAGAAGAAAGUGAUGAUAGUGAAGCCGAUCACAUCCCAGAUCUUUGGGUGUGAAACUUUUUCUUCACGUGUGUCCCUUUGCGCCGUAACCAUGGAAAAUCUUCAUCAUUUAACGGGAUGCUCGGGUCAAUAUUCACUGUGAAUGGAGCAAUUUCAUCAAACUUUUCAUAAUCUUCUGACAUGUCUGUCUUGUCAUCCACUCCCAUGAUGUUUCUCUUCCCAGAAAGAACUAUGUGCCGCUUUGGCUCAUCAUACGAUGCAUUCGCUUCCUUAUCUUUUCUUUUUCUCGGCUUGGUAGAUAUGUCCUUCACAUAGAAAACCUGUGCCACAUCAUUGGCUAGGACGAAUGGUUCGUCUGCAUACGCAAGAUUGUUGAGAUCCACUGUUGUCAUUCCGUACUGCGGAUCUUCCGUUACCCCGCCUCGUGUCAUAUUGACCCAUUUGCACCAAAACGAAGGGACCUUCAAACCAUGUCGAUAGUCAAGUUCCCAUAUGUCCUGUAUAUAACCAUAAUAUGUUUCCUUUCCCGUCUUGGUUUCUGCAUCAAAGUGGACACCACUGUUUUGGUUGGUGCUCUUCUUAUCUUGGGCGAUCAUGUAAAAUGUAUUACCAUUUAUCUCGUACCCUUUGAAAGUCAUUAUAUUCAAAGAUGGUAACUGGGACAGCAAGCACAAGUCAUCUUCAAUAGAGGUGUCAUGCAUGGUACGUUCUGCAACCAGCUGGCGAAACUCCUGGUUUGUUCAUGUGUAAUCCAGUCAUCAGACCGCUCCGGGUGUUUGGAGCGUAGCAAAUUCUUGUGUUCAUCCAUAUACGGAGCCACCAAAGCGGAAUUCUGUAGAACUAUGUAGUGUGCUUCAGUGAGAGAAUGUCCGUCCAUACAUAUUAUUUGUUCCCCUCCUAGCGUGCCUUUUCCAUCCAGUCUGCCCUUAUGCCGCGAUUCAGGAACACCAAUCGGCUUAAGGUCAGGAAUAAAGUCAAUACAAAACCCAAUGACCUUCUCAUUUUCAUGGCCCUUGGAGAUGCUUCCUUCUGGCCUAGCACGGUUAUGAACAUAUUUCUUUAAGACUCCCAUGAACCUCUCAAAGGGGAAUAUAUUGUGUAGAAAUACAGGACCCAAAACAUUAAUCUCUUCGCAUAGGUCAACUAGGACGUGCGUCAUGAUGUUGAAGAAGGAUGGUGGGAACACCAACUCGAAACUGACAAGACAUUGCACCAAAUCAUUCUCUAACCUUGGUAUGAUUUCUGGAUCGAUUACCUUCUGAGAGAUUGCAUUGAGAAAUGCACAUAGCUUCACAAUGGCUAAUCGAACGUUUUCCGGUAGAAGCCCCCUCAAUGCAACCGGAAGCAGUUGCGUCAUAAUCACGUGGCAGUCAUGAGACUUUAGGUUCUGGAACUUUUUCUCUGCCAUGUUUAUUAUUCCCUUUAUAUUCGACGAGAAGCCAGACGGUAUCUUAAUACAGAGCAGGCAUUCAAAGAAGAUUUCCUUCUCUUUUUUGGUAAGAGCGUAGCUUGCAUGACCCUGAUGUAUGCCGUCUUUUCCGUGCAUACGUUGCUGGUCCUCCCGUUCCUCAGGUGUAUCUUUUGUCUUCCCAUACACGCCCAAGAAGCCAAGUAGGGUCACACAAAGAUUCUUCUGCAUCACGUCAAUUGCGGAGCGGACCUCUAGGGCUAUCCAAUAGGGCAGGUCCCAAAAUAUAGAUUUCUUCUUCCACAUGGGUGCGCGUCCGUCAGCGUCAUUCGGAACAGGUUGUCCACCAGGACCCUUUCCAAAGACCACCUUCAAAUCCUUGACCAUAUCAUGUACAUCAGCACCAAUACGGUGGCGAGGCUUCGUCCGGUGAUCCGCCUCACCUUUGAAAUGCUUGCCUUUCUUUCUUACGGGAUGCCUGCUCGGAAGAAAUUGGCGAUGUCCCAGAUACACAUUCUUCUUACAAUUAGCCAAAUAUAUACUGUCGGUAUCGUUCAAACAGUGCGUGCAUGCGCGGUAUCCCUUGUUUGUCUGUCCUGAAAGGUUACUGAGAGCAGGCCAAUCAUUGAUGGUCACGAACAGCAACGCCUUUAGGUCAAAUUCAUCCCCCAUGUGCUCAUCCCAUGCACGUACACCUGUUCCAUUCCACAGUUGUAAGAGUUCUUCAACUAAUGGCCUUAGGUACACAUCAAUGUUGUUGUCGGGUUGCUUAGGGCCUUGGAUGAGCACUGGCAUCAUAAUGACCUUCCGCUUCAUGCACAACCAAGGAGGAAGGUUAUACAAACAUAGAGUCACAGGCCAGGUGCUAUGGUUGCUGCUCUGCUCCCCAAAAGGAUUAAUGCCAUCUGCGCUUAUACCAAACCAUACUCUCCUUGCGUCAUCUGCAAACUCCUUCCCGUACUUUCUUUCGAUUUUUCUCCACUGCGACCCAUCAGCGGGUACUCUCAACUUUUCGUCUUUCUUACGGUCUUCUCUGUGCCAUCGCAUCGCCUUGGCAUGCUCUUUGUUUUGGAACAAACGUUUCAACCGUGGUAUUAUAGGAGCAUACCACAUCACCUUGUCAGGAAUCUUCUUCCUGGGGCGCUCGCCCUCGACAUCACCAGGGUCAUCGCGGCUGAUCUUAUAGCGCAAUGCACCGCAUAUCGGGCAAGCGUUCAAAUCCUCGUACUCACCACGGUAGAGGAUGCAAUCAUUAGGGCAUGCAUGUAUCUUCUGCACCUCUAACCCUAGAGGGCAGACAACCUUCUUUGCUUCGUACGUACUCUCGGGUAAUUCGUUGUCCUUUGGAAGCAUAUCCUUUAUCAUUACCAGCAACUUUCCAAAUCCCUUGUUAGAUACACCAUUCUCUGUCUUCCAUUGCAGCAAUUCCAGUAUGGUGCCCAGCUUUUUCUUGUCACCUACGCAAUUCGGGUACAACAAUUUUUUGUGAUCCUCUAACAUGCGCUGCAACUUCUUCUUCUCCAAAUCACUUGCGCAGUUUCUCUUUGCAUCGGCAAUGGCCCGACCUAGAUCAUCAAUGGGCUCAUCUGAUGCCUCUUCUUCAGCUUCUUCCCGCAUUGCCGGAUCAGCUUCUUCCAGCAUUACCGGCUUAGCUUCUUCCCCCAUUGUUGUAUCAUCGUAUUCAGGGAACCCAUGGCCAGGAUAGAUGUCGUCGUCCUCUUCUUCUUCAUUGUCUUCCAUCAUAACCCCUCUUUCUCCGUGCUUGGUGCAGACAUUUUAGUGGGGCAUGAAACCGGACUUAAACAGGUGGACGUGAAUGGUUCUUGACGUAGAGUAAUUGUGACCAUUCUUACAGCCAGCACAUGGACAAGGCAUAAAACCAUCCGCCCGCUUGUUUGCCUCAGCCGCAAGCAGAAAAGUAUGCACGCCCUCAACGAACUGGGGAGAGCAUCGGUCAUCGUACAUCCAUUGCCGGCUCAUCUUCAUUACACAACACCGAAUAGACCAAAUUAAUACAAGUUCAUACAUAAAGUUCAUACAACACUUAAAUGCAACAAACAAAUAACUCUCUAGCUAAAGCAUUUAAAUGCAACAACAAAUCCGAUCAAGAUCACAACUAAGGUAACAAUGGAUCCAAUAGCAUAAUGAUACCAAGCCUCACUAUCGAUGGCAUAUUUUUUAAUCUUUCUAAUCUUCAAGCGCAUUUUCUCCAUCUUGAUCUUGUGAUCAUCGACGACAUCGGCAACAUGCAACUCCAAUUCCAUCUUCUCCCCCUCAAUUCUUUUCAAUUUUUCUUUCAAGUACUCGUUUUCUCUUUCAACUAAAUUUAGCCUCUCGACAAUAGGGUCGGUUGGAAUUUCCGGUUCACAUACCUCCUAGAAAAAAUAUCUAUGCAACUUGAUGGGCAUAAUUUGUCAUAAACUCGAAAUGCAACUAGUUUUAAAAGAGAAUAUGUAUACCACAUCCGAAUCAUAACAAGGACGAGGGCCGACGGGGACGGAUAUCAAAACCAUGGCACUAUGUAUAACAAACAACGUACGGGUAAGAUAAUUAUACGAGUAACUAUAUAUCCAAAUCACACAAACAUCAAUUUUUAUAUAAAAUUUCAUGAACAAGAGGCUCACCACAAGAUGGUGUCGGCGACGGGACGGUGCGGGCGAUCGACGGUGGUUACGGCGGAGAUUUAGAAGGCACUAAGUAAACCACACCUACAUAUGCAAACUAAGUGUUAUUUUUGACCUCAAAUUGCAUAUAAAUCAAAUACUAGCACAUAUAAUUCCUCCCAAAUUACUAAACUCACAAAUUAAACACUAUAUAAAGCAUUGCAAGAGCUAAUCUAGCAAUGAGAGAUGAAAGGACAAAGUUGCUAACCUUUGUGAUCAUUUGAAUCGAUGGGGACCUUCAAAUCUUGACAAAUUUUGGGCAAAAUGUGCGAUGAGCUCGAGAGGAAGAGGGGAAGAACAGAGAGGGAGGGGAAAGGGGAAGAACAGAGCGAGUUCGGGUGGACGAAGGGUUUAUGUAGGACGACCUUUAGUAUCGGUUCGUGACACGAACCGGUACUAAAGGUGCUGGAGGGACCCCAGACUGACAACAUCCUGCCACCACUCUCAUUAGUACCGGUUCAUGGCACAAACCGGUGCUAAAGGUUCGCCACGAACCGGUACUAAUGAGAGCGGUCCGGCUAGCCGUUGGAACGGGCACUAAUGUACACAUUAGUGCCGGCUCUAAUUCAAACCGACACUAAUGUGCUUCAUAUUUGAUCCUUUUUCUACUAGUGUUGGUGGAGGCGUCCGUGCUGGGAUGAUAUUUGUUUGCUUCCAUAAAGCUAAUGCUAAGCAAUUAUUUUUCUUCUGUAACACUUUAAAGCACUUCCUUGCAUAAUAUUGAACCUGAAGCUUAUAGUUCUACACUUCUACUGAUAUAUUGUAUAUCGACUGCCUCAAGGGAGCAUAAUAAUUGCUUCCCAUUUCUUAUUUUUUGCUAAGCUUCAUUACAUAGUUGUUUGCUAAAUGAUGCCCGUGAUUGACUGAAUAUUGUUUAGAAUUUCACAAUCAUAAUUAAUCUUUGAUCUGACCGUCUUGAUUGAUUCAGAUGCGCAUUCUAUGUUCUGCCAAAAAAAUUACAUGCUAAUCUAUGAAAAAUAUUAUGCUGUUAGUGGAUCCUUUUAAUUUAGGAUCUAUUCUCCUACUCUCUGAAUAUUGUUUCCAUAAGCUCCAUUUUAUCUUCAGUUACCUCAACUUGUACAAUGUUAAGUGGGUUAUCAAAAUGAUGAAUUACUGUAUUUUGUACAAUGUUGGUUAACACUUAACUUGACUAUUCUUCAUUUUGAAACAUUAGCCGGCAACCUCUCCGACAUGCUGCUCAUGACCACCUCCCCAACCAGAUGCUGUUGGUAAGCUCUCUCUUCUCCCCCUCCAUCUAUUUGCUAAGCACACAUUUAUGCAAGAUGGAAAUCCAUCUAUUUAACUCGAUUUUGCUGAAAAAUGUUUCUUUUUAUCCUGUUGGAUGUGUAGGCAGUAGAGGAAGUAUGGAUGGUAAUUUUGUUUCACUCAAUAAAAUCCUUGUGUGUGCUAAUUAUGCAUUGGCAGUAGGCAGUGGACUUAGCCAUUUGGCAACAGCGGUAUUGGUUAGUUAUAAGAAUUCAUAUUGAUCAUGAAGAAUAUGCCACAUGAUACUUGAAGCAAUAUUGUCUGGUUUUGGAGAUUUGAUCUGCCAAUGCUGCUACUACUCUUUUGCAGGUUCUUCUAGUCGGUGGUUUGGAGGACGAGAUGCCUGUGAGGAGCAAGGAGCAAGGAUUUGAGAUGGCUCGCUUCUAGUCUCAUGUAUAAGAAUAUGCCCUAUUUUGACUUUGGAGCUUUAUUGCUUUU